CUGAGCCCAUCCCGGGGGAAUGGUGGGAUUUUUUGACAGAUGUGAAACUCCGAUUCACACUGCCACCAUCCACCAUCCGUCAAAAACAGCUGAUGCCAAUAACAAGUUCAUUAAAUUUGCGCGGAAGAUUUAUUAAUUCUUGGUUCUUUUAAUGGAUGAUGAAGAUAUAGCAAUUAUUUCGGCUGUGGUUCAACAGCAAAAAGGGAUUCGAGGCAAUUGGGUUUCCUCAGUGCCUAGGUGCAAUUGAUGGAUGCCACAUCGAAAUAAAACCACCAGCACCUGAGGCAGUAGACCACCAUAAGGCUGAGGCUGGUAUUCCACAGUCUUGUUUGCCCUAGUGGAUUAUAGAUACAGAUUUACAUAUGUAAAUAUCGGCUCUGCAGGAAGGUGCAAUGACUCGAUGAUAUACCAGAAGUCAAGCCUUGCAAAACAUAUCGAAGCAUCGGCAUUACUCCAAGAUAAAGCCAAGGAAAUAAGCGGAGUAAACGUCCCUGUAAUGCUUAUCGGGGACUCGGCAUUUAGGUUUUCUAAAAAGCUGAUGAAACCUUACCCGUUUUCCACAGUCGCCUCUUUGGAACAGCGCACGUUUAACUACAACCUUUCCAAAGUAAGGCGAGUGGUGGAAAAUGCAUUUGGGCAUUUAAAAGCCAGAUUUCGAAUAAUCGGAAAAGGUCUUGAUAGCCACCACAAAAAUAAUAGCGCCAUAAUAAUGAGCUGUUGUAUUUUACACAAUAUAUUAAAUAUGCACAACAGCGCGAUUAAUGAAAAUUGGGAUCUUGCAACAAUUGAGCAGCGCGAACAGCCCGAUACCAGCAACAGUUCUGCUGACUUUAAUCAGUCAGCAGAACAGAUACGAUCUGCAAUCGCAAAAUAUUGUGUAGACCGUAAUGAAAAUUAAAAACUUAUUUAUUUUUAUUUUUUAAAACUUCUAAUAAGUCGUUCUGGAAUUUUGUUUGGGUGCUGAUCAAGUCCUGCACCAUCUUCUCCUGCCUAACGUCGUGCUCCUCCUUCUUUCUGUGGUGGUCCUUUUGUUGUUCGAGACGCUCCUGGGCGAUCUCUGCCAGCCACGAAAUGUCUGUCUUUUUCUUUUUCUUUGGCGGACGCCCAGACAAGGUGCUGGAGCUACAAGAUCCGUCCAGGUCCAUCUCAAUAAUAUCCGAAAAGUACUCAUCAGGAUCUGCAAUGAACACCUUAAAUGAAAUAUAUUUUUUUAGCAAUAAAUUAAUAAAACUUACUGUCGUUGUCCAAUGUGCUCUGCUCCAUGUUGUUUGCACUCAAGAUGCCAAAUCAGCGAACUUCAGUUCAGCGCCCUGAAUGUGACGGUCAACCGGCGGUAAUCUGAUAUCUUGCACAUGCCGCAAGAUCAGCAUUAUCGCUUAUGCCAAGUCGGCUUACCGACUGUAGCUUUGUAGCUCUAAGUACAUAUAUUUUGUAGCUUUGCAUUCUUUGGCAAUUAAAUACUUUUGAUUCAGCUUAUGCCCCAGCUUGCUGGUGGCUCCUAGUUUUAGUUCUGUUCUUAUUACGAAAGCUAACGCUUGUUAAUAAACCUUGCUCCGGCAACCAGCCGUAAACACUUUGAAUUAUUAAUUCUAUACCACUGUACCACAAGGCCAGUGAUAAGAGAGACAGUUAUCUCUCCAACAUAAUCUUCAUAAAGGAUUCUAUACCACGGAACCCGCACGAGGACCACCGCAUCAAGCAGCUAAGGCUACUUGGACAUACGGACAACUUAAUUUACACAUGUGAAUUUUUGCGUGGUCCGCGGAAAUCUUCAAUUUUCUCCUUCCAUAUGUCAAUCAGCAGGCUCUCAAGCGCGGCACUCCAUUUCACCCUGCCGCCUGCUGUUGUUCUCUUGUUUGCUGCAUUGUGUAAUAAUAUUAUAUAUUAUAAACAAUAAAAAACAAAUAUAUCUAUUCAACGUACCACUGGAGGAGUUUUCUGGCACUAAAUCCAUUUUAUUAAUAAGUUUUUCGAAAAUUUGGUCUGCUGUCCUUCCGAGCUGUUCUGUUGUUGUUUUUGUUUUUUGUUAAUUUUGUCACAAUCAUUGUUUACGUUUUCGCAGUGAAUACCAUUUUUCCAUUGUGAAUGACAAUUAUUCAGAGUUGCAUUUGAAAACCAUCGGCUAACUAUCGCAUAGAAACGUGCGGUUUAGGAACAUCCAAAAUGGAUGGUGGACUAACUGGGAAAUUUUCGGAACGGCAAAACCUUACGGACCAUCCCCGAAAUGGAUGGUGGAUGGUGGAUGGUCGUCAGUGUGAAUAGCCUAUUACACUUAUAAUAUAAGCUAAUUAAUUGGUUUCUUGGGCGCAUUGCAAGCGUAGCAAGGAAGAGUCACUGCAUCACCAUCCGAGACGUUCCCUAAGAAGGAAACAAACCCUCCGCGAGAACUAAGGCAGCUAUGAGACGCAAUGUGUAAGAGUCAGCGCCAACACGACUGUUGCUUCGAGUGUCAACAAAAUAAAAUAUAUGUAUUUAUCCAAUAGCAGUGUGAUGGAUGCCACAUCGAAAUAAAACCACCAGCACCUGAGGCAGUAGACCACCAUAAGGCUGAGGCUGGUAUUCCACAGUCUUGUUUGCCCUAGUGGAUUAUAGAUACAGAUUUACAUAUGUAAAUAUCGGCUCUGCAGGAAGGUGCAAUGACUCGAUGAUAUACCAGAAGUCAAGCCUUGCAAAACAUAUCGAAGCAUCGGCAUUACUCCAAGAUAAAGCCAAGGAAAUAAGCGGAGUAAACGUCCCUGUAAUGCUUAUCGGGGACUCGGCAUUUAGGUUUUCUAAAAAGCUGAUGAAACCUUACCCGUUUUCCACAGUCGCCUCUUUUGAACAGCGCACGUUUAACUACAACCUUUCCAAAGUAAGGCGAGUGGUGGAAAAUGCAUUUUGGCAUUUAAAAGCCAGAUUUCGAAUAAUCGGAAAAGGUCUUGAUAGCCACCACAAAAAUAAUAGCGCCAUAAUAAUGAGCUGUUGUAUUUUACACAAUAUAUUAAAUAUGCACAACAGCGCGAUUAAUGAAAAUUGGGAUCUUGCAACAAAUGAGCAGCGCGAACAGCCCGAUACCAGCAACAGUUCUGCUGACUUUAAUCAGUCAGCAGAACAGAUACGAUCUGCAAUCGCAAAAUAUUGUGUAGACCGUAAUGAAAAUUAAAAACUUAUUUAUUUUUAUUUUUUAAAACUUCUAAUAAGUCGUUCUGGAAUUUUGUUUGGGUGCUGAUCAAGUCCUGCACCAUCUUCUCCUGCCUAACGUCGUGCUCCUCCUUCUUUCUGUGGUGGUCCUUUUGUUGUUCGAGACGCUCCUGGGCGAUCUCUGCCAGCCACGAAAUGUCGGUCUUUUUCUUUUUCUUUGGCGGACGCCCAGACAAGGUGCUGGAGCUACAAGAU